rnacentral:rRNA from 1 species
GGGAGCUUUCCCCGCAGCGGAGAAGCCGAGAGGGCGACCCUCGGUGGAGCGCGGGGAAGUGAGAAUGCUGGCAUGAGUAACGAGAGCGGCGCGAGAAACGCCGCCGCCGUAAGCCUAAGGGUUCCUGGGCAAGGCUAAUCCUCCCAGGGUCAGUCGGGAGCUAAGGCGAGGCCGAGAGGCGUAGCCGAUGCGCAACAGGCGGACAUUCCUGUACCGCCUGCGGACCGCUAUCACCGACGGGGUGACGGAGAAGGGUAGCCGAGCGGGGUUCUGGACGUCCCCGUGAAAGCGCGUAGGGAGCAUCGCAUGGAAAUCAGCGGCGCAUAUAUCCUGAGACGCGAGACGAAAGCUUAUGCUGAAGUCGGCGAGCCCAUGCUUCCGAGAAAAACCUCUAGGAAGGGACGCAGGCGCCCGUACCAAAACCGACACAGGUGGGCAGGUAGAGCAUACCGAGGCGAUCGGGAGAACCAUGGUUAAGGAACUCGGCAUACUGACUCCGUAACUUCGGGAGAAGGAGUGCCCCUGGCGGUGACGGGACUAGCUCCCCGAGCGGCCGGGGGUCGCAGCGAAACGGCCCAAGCGACUGUUUAUCAAAAACACAGGACUCUGCAAAGCCGUAAGGCGACGUAUAGGGUCUGACGCCUGCCCGGUGCUGGAAGGUUACGCGGAUGGGUCAGCCGCAAGGCGAAGCUCUGAAGCCAAGCCCCAGUAAACGGCGGCCGUAACUAUAACGGUCCUAAGGUAGCGAAAUUCCUUGUCGGGUAAGUUCCGACCUGCACGAAUGGCGUAACGAUUUGGGCGCUGUCUCAACCAUGGACCCGGUGAAAUUGUAUUAUUCGUGAAGAUGCGAAUUACCUGCGGAAGGACGGAAAGACCCCGUGAACCUUUACUGCAGCUUGACAUUGAUCGUUGGCUCGGCGCGUAGAGGAUAGGCAGGAGGCUGCGAAGCCCGGGCGCCAGCCCGGGCGGAGCCGACCUUGGAAUACUGCCCUCGUCGCGUCGGCGAUCUAACCCCCGGCCGUGAUCCGGCGGGGGGACCGUGUCAGGCGGGUAGUUUGACUGGGGCGGUCGCCUCCCAAAACGUAACGGAGGCGCGCAAAGGUCCGCUCAGAACGGUCGGCAACCGUUCGCAGAGCGCAAGAGUACAAGCGGGCUUGACUGCGAGGCCCACAAGCCGAGCAGAGACGAAAGUCGGUUCUAGUGAUCCGGCGGCACAGAGUGGAAUGGCCGUCGCUCAACGGAUAAAAGGUACUCCGGGGAUAACAGGCUGAUCUUGCCCAAGAGUCCACAUCGACGGCAAGGUUUGGCACCUCGAUGUCGGCUCAUCGCAUCCUGGGGCUGAAGUCGGUCCCAAGGGUAUGGCUGUUCGCCAUUUAAAGCGGUACGCGAGCUGGGUUCAGAACGUCGUGAGACAGUUCGGUCCCUAUCCUCCGCAGGCGCAAGAGGAUUGAGGAGGUCUGCCCCUAGUACGAGAGGACCGGGGUGGACGGACCUCUGGUGCAGCAGUUGUCGACCAACGGCACGGCUGCCUAGCUACGUCCGGCACGGAUAACCGCUGAAAGCAUCUAAGUGGGAAGCCGUCUCCAAGAUGAGUCCUCUUUCCGGUAAGGGCCCAGGCAGAACACCUGGUCGAUAGGCCGCAGGUGCAAGGCGUGCGAGCGCCUCAGCCGAGCGGUACUAAUAGCCCGAGCUCUUCUUC